rnacentral:rRNA from 1 species
UGGGGAAUCUUGCGCAAUGGGCGAAAGCCUGACGCAGCCAUGCCGCGUGGAUGAUGAAGGUCUUAGGAUUGUAAAAUCCUUUCACCGGUGAAGAUAAUGACUGUAGCCGGAGAAGAAGCCCCGGCUAACUUCGUGCCAGCAGCCGCGGUAAUACGAAGGGGGCUAGCGUUGCUCGGAAUUACUGGGCGUAAAGGGAGCGUAGGCGGACAUUUAAGUCAGGGGUGAAAUCCCGAGGCUCAACCUCGGAACUGCCUUUGAUACUGGGUGUCUUGAGUGUGAGAGAGGUAUGUGGAACUCCGAGUGUAGNGGUGAAAUUCGUAGAUAUUCGGAAGAACACCAGUGGCGAAGGCGACAUACUGGGCUCAUUACUGACGCUCG